UUACUGCAACCUCCACCUCCUGGGUUCAAGCAAUUCUCUGCCUCAGCCUCCUGAGUAGCUGGGACUACAGGCACACACCACCACACCUGGCUAAUUUUUGUAUAUUUAGCAGAGAUGGGGUUUCACCAUCAUAGCCAGGCUCACCUUGAACUCCUCACCUUGUGUUCCACCUGCCUCGCUUCCCAAAGUGCUGGGUUUACAGGUGAGUUGUUGCACACUCCUUAGUGAAUUCCGACUUCCAUGGCCACCAUCCUGCUUGGAGUGGAUGAUCUUCACCGAAUGGAGUGACUUAACAAGUUAAAGGAGCAUGUAGCCAGAAGACCCCUGUGGGAAAGGAUGCACAAGGCAGAAAAUACUGAGAAAAUACCAUGGCAUGUCCAUAUGUGCAUACAAAAUAGUUUAUCAGAUCAUACUGAGUAACUUCUGUAGUAGAUUCCUAAGGAGGAAAAUAGAAAGAACACUCUCUGGGUUUUUGCAUGCUGAUAAAAAUUCAUCUGUGCCCUUUAUACUUGAAGGUGUGCACUGAGGAAAGGCCAUGUGAAGACAUAGAGCAGCCAUCUGCAAGCCCGGAAGUGAGCGCUCACUGGAAACCAACAAUGCUGGCCCACGGUCUUGAACUUCCCAGCCUCCAGAACUGUGGGAGAACACAUUUCUGUUGCUUAAGCUACCCAGUCCAUGGAAUCUUGUUAUGACAGCUCAAGCAGCCUCGCAUGAGUAUGGGUAGGCCUUAGGAAUAGGAUCGUUACUCCCAUGAUUAGGUUAUAUGAUUUCACCAUAGCACACUAGAAAGAGAAUCUCCUGUUGGCUUUGAUGAAGUAAAUUUCCAUGUUGUGAGAUGGCUACAUGACAAGAACCUGGGGCAAUCUCUGGGAACUGAGGGAAUCCCUAGCUGGCAGCCAGCAAGAUAAUGGGAAUCUUAGUCCUACAACCACAAGUCAUUGAGUUCUGAGACCCUCGAAUCAGAUGGAAUCAUCAUAGCCCUGACUGACACCUUGAUUUCAACCUAGUGAGAUUCCGAGUAGAGGAUCCAGUUAGCUCAUGCUUCUAUUUUCUGGCCCACAGAAAUGGUAAGAUGAUAAAUUAGUUUUAAGUCACUAGGUUUGAAAUAAUUUGUUAUGCAGCAAUAAAAAACUAACACGGUGCAAUUUGAUAAGGUGCGAUAUGUGCACAGGUAUGGAAAACUGUGAACAGAAUCCAGAUAAUAAACAUACUUAAUACUCCCUUAGAUUUUGUUAUGUUCUUUUAUAGCUCCCUCCACUCCUGCCUCAACCUACUCUAUUUCCAGGAAAGUAUUGAUCUGUUUCCCUUCAUUGUAAAUUAGUUUGAAUUUUCUAGUCUUUUUUGUAAAUGGAAUCUUAUAGUAUGUAUUUGCUUGGUUUUUCUCUCUGUGCAUAAUUAUUUUUACUUUUAUCUGUGUUAUGUAUACCAACAGUUCAUUCCUUUUUAUGGCUGAAUAGUAUUCAAUUGUAUCUAUUUACCAAACUUUAUUAAUUCAUUCAACUGUUGAUACACAUUUGUGUUGUUACCAGUUCCCAGUGAUAACAAA